rnacentral:lncRNA from 1 species
AGUGGGUCUCCAUUUUUACCGACGAGGACGACAGGCCUUGGAGAGGGAGUAACUUAAGAGGCUGGUUGGGGUCCUGGCCAUCUGGCUCCAGGGCUCUGCUUGUCCAGGUUUCCCAGGUAAAGAAACGCGUGGACCUGGACAUCCCCUACUCACGCGCAGUUUGCUCAGCCAGCCCUCAUGGGAGAGUCGUUGGAGAGGGGCUGGGGAAGGGAGAGAAGCCCAGUUCCGCGUGUGGCCUGGGAACAUGGGCGAGAUGUGUGUGAGUGAAGGUGGAGAGGGCAGCGGCCACAGGAAGGAAGCAAGGGAUCUCAUUGGGUCCCCUCAGGCGGGCAGGCCCUGCCGAUAAAAACACGGCUGCUUUCACCACAGCCUCUUGCUGGCUCCCAACCUCAAACACAAAUUCCCCCAGGGCAUUCUGCUCCUCUCCCAUCCUGGGAUGAAGCCUCUCCUGGGGGAUGGAGGAUGCAGUGGGCGUGCUCAGCGGGGCUGGGGUUUGGGGUUCCGGUGGUGGCCAGCUCCAAACUUUGGAAGCCGAUGGGAGGGCUGCUUUCUGGGAGUCCUUCUGGGAGUCCCCUCACCCCUAGGCCAAGGAGCAUUUGUCUUUGGGGGAAGGAAAGCUGGGGGCAAGAGGUAGGCACUGCAGGGGUAGCAGAGAUCCCCGGGGCCCUGGGAGGCGCUUUGAGGGAGCCAGCCCAGAUUCCUGCCCGCAGGGAGGUCAGAACCAGAACAGCAGCUGAUCUGAUAGGCUGUGAUCUAUAAUUUAUACCCAGCUCCUUCUAGAAAGGACUGGCGGCUGCCUGCCAGGGGAUUUGUAGCCGUAAGUUUUGCUUUGAUGAAGCUAAGGGAGUUCAGGUUGUCCCUCUGGUUGGGUGUUCCUGAAUUAACACCAUCUGUGAAGCUCUUGCCCACAGGUUAACCUCUUUAUCCUCACGGCACUGCUGCAGAGCCCGAAUGAUUAUGUGACAGAUGGGGAAACUGAGGCUCAGAGGGUGAAGUGACUUGCCUAAGAUCCCACUCCUGGGGAAGAGACGAUUUAAGUCCAGGACUGUUCGU